rnacentral:misc_RNA from 1 species
UCUCCGUAGGUGAACCUGCGGAGGGAUCAUUACAGAGUUCGUGCCCUCGCGGGUAGAUCUCCCACCCUGUGUUAUUGCUACCUUUGUUGCUUUGGCGGGCCGCCCUCGGCUACCGGCCCCGGCUGGUACGCGCCCGCCAGAGGACCCCAAACCCUGAACGUCAGUUUCAUAUAAUUACUUUAUAUUAUUAAAAACUUUAAACAACGGAACUCUUGGUUCUUACAUAGAUGAAGAACGCCGAAGGAUCGAAAGGCCCACGCCUGAAUGCAGGUCACGCCA